rnacentral:rRNA from 1 species
AUACGGAAGGUCCGGGCGUUAUCCGGAUUUAUUGGGUUUAAAGGGAGCGCAGGCGGAGAUGCAAGCGUGACGUCAAAUUUCGGGGCUCAACCCCGUCUCGCGUCGCGAACUGCGUCCCUUGGUUGCGGGAAGGGGAGGCGGAACUCGUGGUGGAGCGGUGAAAUGCAUAGAUAUCACGAAGAACUCCGAUCGCGAAGGCAGCCUUCCGGCCCGUCAACGACGCUCAUGCUCGAAGGUGCGGGUAUCAAACAGGAUUAGAUACCCUGGUAGUCCGCACAGUAAACGAUGGACACCCGCGGUUUGGCCUAUAUGGCUGAGCCGCCAAGCGAAAGCGUUAAGUGUCCCACCUGGGGAGUACGCCGGCAACGGUGAAACUCAAAUGAAUCGACGGGG